GAUGAACGCUAGCGGCAGGCUUAACACAUGCAAGUCGAGGGGCAGCAUGACCAAACUUUCGGGUUUGGUUGAUGGCGACCGGCGCAAGGGUGCGUAACGCGUGAGCAACUUGCCCUUAUCAGGGGAAUAACCGUUGGAAACGACGACUAAUACCCCAUAGUAUCACUUCAAGGCAUCUUUUAGUGAUUAAAGAACUUCGGAUAAGGAUAGGCUCGCGUGACAUUAGCUAGAUGGCGGGGUAACGGCCCACCAUGGCGACGAUGUCUAGGGGUUCUGAGAGGAAGGUCCCCCACACUGGAACUGAGACACGGUCCAGACUCCUAUGGGAGGCAGCAGUGAGGAAUAUUGGUCAAUGGUCGAGAGACUGAACCAGCCAUGCCGCGUGAAGGUCACGGCCCUAUGGGUCUUAAACUUCUUUUGUAAGGGAGCAAUAAGGUUCACGUGUGGACUGAUGAGAGUACCUUACGAAUAAGCAUCGGCUAACUCCGUGCCAGCCGCCGCGGUAAUAC
rnacentral:rRNA from 1 species